rnacentral:rRNA from 1 species
UACGUAGGGUGCGAGCGUUAAUCGGAAUUACUGGGCGUAAAGCGUGCGCAGGCGGCUUGCCAAGUCAGAUGUGAAAGCCCCGGGCUCAACCCGGGAACUGCGUUUGAAACUGGCAGGCUAGAGUUUGGCAGAGGGGGGUGGAAUUCCACGUGUAGCAGUGAAAUGCGUAGAGAUGUGGAGGAACACCGAUGGCGGAAGGCGGCGACCUG